rnacentral:lncRNA from 1 species
CUGGAAACGAGGAGGAUGCGUUAUUUAACGUCACCUGCUGACCUUCAGUUACUCUGUGAGCAGCCAGACACAGAGAGAGGAGUGCUGUGAGCUUUAAGCAGAGAAAACAGAGAGAAAGUUGAACAAAACCAGACAAAAGUCUUUACUAGAGACUUCUACAGGACAAGGACCAGAACCAGAACCAGAACCAGAACCAGACAGAGAAGAGACUUCAAACCUGUGAAGAAGUUUAGACCAGACGAGACCAUGGACCCACGCAUGGCGGAGGGAUUUUUCCCUGGCGGGGAUGGACUUCCAGAUUGGGUCCAGGGCUGGGCAGGACCUCUGGGUUGGGUCCCGGGCUGGGUCCCUGGUUGGGUCCCGGUCUGGGCAGGACCUCCGGUUUUGGUCUCCGACUCGGCUGGACCCCCUCCUUUCGUCCCUGGCUGGGACGAACCUCCAGAAGAACCAGAAGAACCAGAAGAGCAGGUAGUACCAGGCGACCAGGAAGCACCAGAAGACCGAAAAGCACCCGAAGACCCAGAAGACCCAGAAGACUCAGAAGCAGAAGAAGACCAGGAAGUACCAGAGGACCAUGAGCAGGACCUUCCUGAUGGAACUUUGUUUUCCUUCUACGAGGUGACUCCUGGCUGGGAGACCCCUGAGGACUUUGAUUCCUCAGAUUACAGUGACUUUGAGGAUGAAGGUUAAGUAUUCCACUUAGUCGCAGUGUCUCCAAGAAGAGGUGUUACUGUAGUGAUUCUACAGUCAGGCACGUAGACAGUUCUGAGGAACCUUCAUCGUCCGACUCUGACUGUCAUUGUGAGCCUGGGACAAAGAGGCCGAGACGGGACGACAGCUCUGACUCAUCGUAGAGUCAUCUGUGCUUUUCCUUUUCCUGCUCCUCUCCAUCUAUGAGCAGAGUUCCCUGUUUGUAUCCGGCUUCCACAGCUAGUCCUUGCGUCUGGCAGGAUUAGCUCAGCCUUUGGUUACAUUAACACCAACCAAGGCUGGUCUAUGUGUGUCUAUGUGUGUGUGUCCAGUGCGUCUUGUACCUGGGCUCUUUUGUAAAUAGGUGUUUUAGGUAAGUUGACCUUUGCGUCUUGCGGGGCGGCUGAUGUCCCAGGCAGCGUCUGGUACCUGGACUUUUUAGAUGGUAAGGAUCUCAUUUUUUGUUUCUUUAUGACGGGCCACAGCUGGAGUGGUUGUCCUGUCACAUGCAUAAAAUAUUAGGUUUCGUUAAGUUAGAGUUAAGAAUUAGAGAUAACAUUUUUAAUCCAUGCAAGUGAAGACAGGAGGAGACCUCAGCAGAGAACAGAGACCAAAGAACCAAAACAUUGUAAGCAAAAACACUGAACACAUGUUUCAUGUAAAAAUAAACUUUACUUUAUAAUAAUGCCUGUAAAAUGU